UACAGAGGGUGCAAGCGUUAAUCGGAAUUACUGGGCGUAAAGCGUGCGUAGACGGUUAUGUAAGUCAGAUGUGAAAGCCCCGGGCUCAACCUGGGAAUGGCAUUUGAGACUGCAUAGCUAGGAUGCGGAAGAGGGAAGUGGAAUUUCCGGUGUAGCGGUGAAAUGCGUAGAUAUCUGGAGGAACACCGGUGGCGAAGGCGGCAUCCUGGACCGGUAUUGACGCUGAGGCGCGAAAGCUAGGGGAGCAAACGGGG
rnacentral:rRNA from 1 species